UUACGGCCACAACACGUUGAAACACCGGUUUCUGUAUUAUCUUUGAAGUUAAGCAGCAUCAAGCCUGGUCAGUACCUAGAUAGGUGACCGCUUGGGAUUACCAGGUGCUGUAAG